UGGGGAAUAUUGGACAAUGGGCGAAAGCCUGAUCCAGCCAUGCCGCGUGUGUGAAGAAGGUCUUCGGAUUGUAAAGCACUUUAAGUUGGGAGGAAGGGCAUUAACCUAAUACGUUAGUGUUUUGACGUUACCGACAGAAUAAGCACCGGCUAACUCUGUGCCAGCAGCCGCGGUAAUACAGAGGGUGCAAGCGUUAAUCGGAAUUACUGGGCGUAAAGCGCGCGUAGGUGGUUUGUUAAGUUGGAUGUGAAAUCCCCGGGCUCAACCUGGGAACUGCAUUCAAAACUGACUGACUAGAGUAUGGUAGAGGGUGGUGGAAUUUCCUGUGUAGCGGUGAAAUGCGUAGAUAUAGGAAGGAGCACCAGUGGCGAAGGCGACCACCUGGACUAAUACUGACACUGAGGUGCGAAAGCGUGGGGAGCAAACA
rnacentral:rRNA from 1 species